rnacentral:misc_RNA from 1 species
GUAUUGUAUUGCGUUAAACGCGGCAUACAUUCCAUGAGACUUUAUCACAGUGUGUGUGUGUGUAAAUACAUAGGACCACAGAAGGGGACAGAGCCCCCAGGGCUGCAGAACUAUGGAGGGUGCACAGGUGUGAGUGGAUAUGCAAACAGAGUGUGCACAUGCCCCCAUUUGAGGACCAGCAACAACUCGUGUUGACAAUUCGGUAAUGAUCCUUCCGCAGGUUCACCUACGGAAA